CAAGAUAUGACCAAAGUAAAGACAC
rnacentral:piRNA from 1 species